rnacentral:rRNA from 1 species
CCUACGGGAGGCAGCAGUGGGGAAUAUUGGGCAAUGGAGGAAACUCUGACCCAGCGACGCCGCGUGCGGGAUGAAGGCCUUCGGGUUGUAAACCGCUUUCAGUAGGGAAGAAGCGAAAGUGACGGUACCUACAGAAGAAGCACCGGCUAACUAUGUGCCAGCAGCCGCGGUAAUACAUAGGGUGCAAGCGUUGUCCGGAAUUAUUGGGCGUAAAGAGCUCGUAGGUGGUUCGUCACGUCGGAUGUGAAAAUCUGGGGCUCAACCCCAGACCUGCAUUCGAUACGGGCGAUCUAGAGUGUGGUAGGGGAGACUGGAAUUCCUGGCGUAGCGGUGGAAUGCGCAGAUAUCAGGAGGAACACCAAUGGCGAAGGCAGGUCUCUGGGCCAUUACUGACACUGAGGAGCGAAAGCGUGGGGAGCGAACAGGAUUAGAUACCCUGGUAGUCCACGCCGUAAACGGUGGGCACUAGUUGUGGGAACCUUCCACGGUUUCUGCGACGCAGCUACGCAUAAGUAGCCCGCCGUCGGGAGGUACGAGCGCGAGAGUAAACGUACUAAUAGUAGUUAGACGUCGUUGAGAGUUGCCGACGGACGACGACGAGGGAGGAGG